rnacentral:rRNA from 1 species
AUUGAGCGCUGGCGGCAUGCCUUACACAUGCAAGUCGAACGGCAGCAUGAUCUAGCUUGCUAGAUUGAUGGCGAGUGGCGAACGGGUGAGUAAUACAUCGGAACGUGCCCUGUAGUGGGGGAUAACUAGUCGAAAGAUUAGCUAAUACCGCAUACGACCUGAGGGUGAAAGUGGGGGACCGCAAGGCCUCAUGCUAUAGGAGCGGCCGAUGUCUGAUUAGCUAGUUGGUGAGGUAAAGGCUCACCAAGGCGACGAUCAGUAGCUGGUCUGAGAGGACGAUCAGCCACACUGGGACUGAGACACGGCCCAGACUCCUACGGGAGGCAGCAGUGGGGAAUUUUGGACAAAGGGCGAAAGCCUGAUCCAGCAAUGCCGCGUGUGUGAAGAAGGCCUUCGGGUUGUAAAGCACUUUUGUCCGGAAAGAAAUGGCUCUGGUUAAUACCUGGGGUCGAUGACGGUACCGGAAGAAUAAGGACCGGCUAACUACGUG